CUCUCAUCAAGAGAGGUUGAGGGAAACGGCCCUAUGAAGCCCGGCAACCCCCCUGCAACGUUGCAGGAAGGGUGCCAAUUCCGGCGGAGCGAUCCGCAAGAUGAGGG
rfam:Ktedonobacter sp. 13_2_20CM_53_11 13_2_20cm_scaffold_11938, whole genome shotgun sequence.